CUUCCUCAGCGAUGACGUGAUUGGCAGAAUUUUUCCAGCAAACUGUUGCAUAGACAUAAAGUUAUUUGUCCUGCAUUUAAUAGCUUCAUUGAGAAAAGAAUGGGCUUUGUGACACUAAGAUGGCAUCACGGUACUGUUUGUGUAACUAGCAAAUCCCCUCCUUCAAAGAGAAAUCCAUGGAGCAGGUUAUCUUCCCUUGAAAAUGUCUUCUGCACACCUAAUCAUGUUCUACCAUAUAUUCUUCAUUGAAAAUGUGGGAGUC